GUAGUACCUUCAACAAUUUAAUAAGAACUGACAAGUAUAAUUUACAUCCGCACCGAAUUGAGAAGUUUUAUUGUUCCCAUAACUCCACCCAUAAAGGAAAUACUUUGAAGUGGCUCCUAGUUUUCGGAUUAGCCCGAAGAGAAUGGAAACACAUCCUCGACAAUAGGCUCCUCUCAGUCUACGCUUCACUUAGUGGAGGACAGAGUAUUCCAGAGACAUUUUGACGUUUUCGUAAUUCUCGCCAUUCGCUGAGGAAAUCUCUUUUCAGAGGAAAUUGCGUGGAUUUUCCCCGGGAAAUAUUGCAUUUUACUACGAAAUAAUGAGGUGCUAAGAUUAUAAAAAAUUUAGGUUAAGAUUCAGGUUUUAGUGGUGCAGUAAAUUAUUGCCACAUGGAAAUUUUUGGAAUAGAAAAUUAUAUGGAAAUAUAUUAUGGGUUCUUUCCGUUCAUAUGAAAAAUGGGAUAUCUAUAUAUUUUUUGAAGAUAUUAUUCAACGCGUUUUGUAGGUCUAGGUUUUUUUAUUGAAUUUUCAAAUUUAAUAUUCCAAAUUCUUUCAAGAAAAAAAUUGAGGAAAACUCCAAAUUUUUAGGGGGAUUUUCUACAGAUAUUUAGCGAAUUAUCUUGGGAAUCGUAACUUUAUAAUUUGAAGAAUAGUGUCAUUUUUGUGGGGUUUUCACUGAGAGAUUGUGAAAUUACGAUAGAUCUGGGGAAAUUUCCCAUAAAUUAGUCUCCGAAGAGUUAACCCGUUCGAAUGAAAAGCUGCUUUUGGGGAAACGACACUUUCUCAUAUCCGCAACUGUCCCCCGAGUCUCGAGGUCGUGAAAAAUCCGAUAAAUCAAAAAUCUCAGCAAAAGCACAUGAUUAUAACCCGUACCUUCGUCGGAAUAACUUUCCCUUCCCCAGGAAGUAUCAGAUAAAGAUCAGAAGUUACCCCCAGUGACUACGAGGCUACCGUUAAUCUUGCAAUAUUUCAAAAGCCCGUCGAAAUCUCAAGGAUCUGCAGGUCAGUGGGGAUAAACCAGGUGUUCGCAACCCUUCACCAAGACACCCAGUUGACAAUUGAGGUCAUGAAUUACAGAGUUAAUUCAUUGUAACAAUUUUUACGACAGGUGACAAGUAAAAAGGACAAUGGCGCACACUUCUGGAGUAAACACCAGUGAAUGAAUGUAACGACGGGUAGUCAUCAAAAUAAUCACAUUCUUCUCAUUAUACUCUUCCCAAACGUCAAGAGCAACAGAAUCACCCGCAGUUAGAACUUUGAAUGAAGGUGGUGUCAAUAUUUGGUGACAACCAGUCACUUGACAUCUGUUCCCGCUGGUUUUUCCUUUCAGUAUUUUCCAUCUAUCCGAUUCUCUGAUGAUAAAUUCACAAAAUGUUAA